AACGUAGGAGACAAGCGUUAUCCGAAUUUACUGGGCGUAAAGCGCGUGCAGGUGGUUAGGUAAGUUGAAUGUGAAAUCUCCUGGCUCAACUGGGAGAGGCUGUUCAAGACUGCCUGACUAGAGGGCGGUAGAGGGAGGUGGAAUUCCCGGUGUAGUGGUGAAAUGCGUAGAUAUCGGGAGGAACACCUGUGGCGAAAGCGGCCUCCUGGACCGUACCUGACGCUCAGACGCGAAAGCUAGGGGAGUGAACGGG
rnacentral:rRNA from 1 species